CCUACGGGAGGCUGCAGUGAGGAAUAUUGGUCAAUGGACGAGAGUCUGAACCAGCCAAGUAGCGUGAAGGAUGACUGCCCUAUGGGUUGUAAACUUCUUUUAUAAAGGAAUAAAGUGAGGCACGUGUGCCUUUUUGUAUGUACUAUAUGAAUAAGGAUCGGCUAACUCCGUGCCAGCAGCCGCGGUAAUACGGAGGAUCCGAGCUUUAUCCGGAUUUAUUGGGUUUAAAGGGAGCGUAGAUGGGUUGGUAAGUCAGUUGUGAAAGUUUGCGGAUCAACCGUAAAAUUGCAAUUGAGACUGGCAGUCUUGAGUACAGUUGAGGUAGGCGGAAUUCGUGGUGUAGCGGUGAAAUGCUUAGAUAUCACGAAGAACUCCGAUUGCGAAGGCAGCUCAAUAAACUGCCACUGACAUUGAUGCUCGAAAGUGUGGGUAUCAAACAGGAUUAGAUACCCUAGUAGUC
rnacentral:rRNA from 1 species